GUCACCGAGUUCGGUGUCGUAAAGUAGUUGCCAGUUUUGUUUGGGCUUAUACAGUGUUACGUUGCGUUGCUUGGAAUUUAAUAUUGUUUUCGCAACUUUAAUUACCUACAUCCACGCCAUGUCUUACGCGUUUAUUAUUGUUGUAUCCGUGGCGAUCACUUUGAAAUUAUUAUUUUUAUCUUUUUCCAUGUUUUUCACAUUUAAAGGGAAACGACCUUCAGAAACAAUGCCCGAUCAGGAGACUACGAGAACUAAGUCUAUGGCGAUAUCUUGGAGGCAAAUACCACGGAUGUUGUUACCCAAAUCAUUAUACUGCAAUGAUGUCAAUAGUAGUAAUACAUAUACUAAUAAAUUAUGAUUAACAUAAACCUAUUCUGCUGUAUCAGUAGGAAUAUCAAAAACUAAUAUUAUAAAGAAGACAUGACGUGGCCAAGCUACCAGCAACAAUUCAAGAUACAUUUUUUUUUGUUUUCCUACAUGGUUAUUGAAGAAAUUUAUCGCAACAAUAUAUAUUUUAUUUUUUAAUUAAAUAUGAUAAUAAAGACACUAAUAACAUUAGGCAAAUAUAUGGUUUAUUGUCAGCUGUGAAUUU